UGGGGAAUUUUGCGCAAUGGGGGAAACCCUGACGCAGCAACGCCGCGUGGAGGAUGAAAUAUCUUGGUAUGUAAACUCCUUUCGAUGGGGAAGAUUAUGACGGUACCCAUAGAAGAAGCCCCGGCUAACUUCGUGCCAGCAGCCGCGGUAAUACGAGGGGGGCAAGCGUUGUUCGGAUUUAUUGGGCGUAAAGGGUGCGUAGGCGGUUUGGCAAGUCUUAUGUGAAAUCUUCGGGCUCAACCCGAAGCCUGCAUAAGAAACUGCCGGGCUUGAGUAUGGGAGAGGUGAGUGGAAUUUCCGGUGUAGCGGUGAAAUGCGUAGAUAUCGGAAGGAACACCUGUGGCGAAAGCGGCUCACUGGACCAUAACUGACGCUGAUGCACGAAAGCUAGGGGAGCAAACAGGAUUAGAUACCCUGGUAGUCCUAGCCCUAAACCAUCAGGACUUGGGGUUUGCCCUGCACGGGGCAAGUCCCGUAGCUAACGCGUUAAGUCCUGCGCCUGGGGAGUACGGUCGCAAGACUG
rnacentral:rRNA from 1 species